AAACAGUCGCCGAACUGCCAGCAGAACUCUUGGACUGUGGAAUGCACGUCCUUCUGUCAUGGAAAACUGCAGAAAAAUAUAAUGCCAGUUCCAGACUCAGGCUUUAAGAGAAUUAGCAUCUUUCCUCCUCCUUAACUCUCUUGGAAGCCAGUCACCAUGUAAGAAAUCUUAGGCUAAACUCCUGAAUGGAGAGAGGCCUUGUGGAGAAGAAUCAAGUAACUUCAACCAAGAGGCAACACCAAGACUUCAGCAAUUUGAGUGAAGCCAUCUUGGACCUUCCACCCCAGUUAAGUGAAGAUAGCUGACACAUCAUAAAGCAGACUAGCCAUCUCCGCUAAGCCCUUCCUGAAUUCCUGGCAACAGAACUGUGAGCAAUAAAACAUCUGCUGUUUUUAGUCACUAAGUCUUGAAGUGGUUCAUUAUGAAGCAAUUGAUAAUUUAUAAACAAAUUAAUAUUAUUUGGUUUUUUGCUUUGUAAAAUUG
rnacentral:lncRNA from 1 species